rnacentral:rRNA from 1 species
UAGGGAAUCUUCGGCAAUGGACGAAAGUCUGACCGAGCAACGCCGCGUGAGUGAAGAAGGUUUUCGGAUCGUAAAACUCUGUUGUUAGAGAAGAACAAGGACGUUAGUAACUGAACGUCCCCUGACGGUAUCUAACCAGAAAGCCACGGCUAACUACGUGCCAGCAGCCGCGGUAAUACGUAGGUGGCAAGCGUUGUCCGGAUUUAUUGGGCGUAAAGCGAGCGCAGGCGGUUUCUUAAGUCUGAUGUGAAAGCCCCCGGCUCAACCGGGGAGGGUCAUUGGAAACUUGGAGACUUGAGUACAUAAGAGGAGAGUGGAAUUCCAUGUGUAGCGGUGAAAUGCGUAGGUAUAUGGAGGAACACCAGUGGCGAGGGCGUCUCUCUGGUCUGUAACUGACGCUGAGGCUCGAAGGCGUGGGGAGCAAACAGG